AUUGAACGCUGGCGGCAGGCCUAACACAUGCAAGUCGAACGGUAACAGGAAGAAGCUUGCUUCUUUGCUGACGAGUGGCGGACGGGUGAGUCAUGUCUGGGAAACUGCCUGAUGGAGGGGGAUAACUACUGGAAACGGUAGCUAAUACCGCAUAACGUCGCAAGCCCAAAGAGGGGGACCUUCGGGCCUCUUGCCAUCGGAUGUGCCCAGAUGGGAUUAGCUAGUAGGUGGGGUAACGGCUCACCUAGGCGACGAUCCCUAGCUGGUCUGAGAGGAUGACCAGCCACACUGGAACUGAGGCACGGUCCAGACUCCUACGGGAGGCAGCAGUGGGGAAUAUUGCACAAAGGGCGAAAGCCUGAUGCAGCCAUGCCGCGUGGAUGAAGAAGGCCUUCGGGUUGUAAAGUACUUUCAGCGGGGAGGAAGGGAGUAAAGUUAAUACCUUUGCUCAUUGACGGUACCCGCAGAAGAAGCACCGGCUAACUCCGUG
rnacentral:rRNA from 1 species